GCUGGCGGCAGGCCUAACACAUGCAAGUCGAGCGCGCCUUCGGGUGAGCGGCGGACGGGUUAGUAACGCGUGGGAACGUGCCCUUCUCUACGGAAUAGCCUCUGGAAACGGAGAGUAAUACCGUAUACGCCCUUUGGGGGAAAGAUUUAUCGGAGAAGGAUCGGCCCGCGUUAGAUUAGGUAGUUGGUGGGGUAACGGCCUACCAAGCCUACGAUCUAUAGCUGGUUUUAGAGGAUGAUCAGCAACACUGGGACUGAGACACGGCCCAGACUCCUACGGGAGGCAGCAGUGGGGAAUCUUAGACAAUGGGGGCAACCCUGAUCUAGCCAUGCCGCGUGAGUGAUGAAGGCCUUAGGGUCGUAAAGCUCUUUCGCCUGUGAUGAUAAUGACAGUAGCAGGUAAAGAAACCCCGGCUAACUCCGUGCCAGCAGCCGCGGUAAUACGGAGGGGGUUAGCGUUGUUCGGAAUUACUGGGCGUAAAGCGCGCGUA
rnacentral:rRNA from 1 species